AACGAACGCUGGCGGCAGGCUUAACACAUGCAAGUCGAACGCCCCUUUCGGGGGGAGUGGCAGACGGGUGAGUAACGCGUGGGAACGUGCCCUUCAGUUCGGGAUAACCCAGGGAAACUUGGGCUAAUACCGGAUACGUGCGAGAGCAGAAAGAUUAAUCGCUGAAGGAUCGGCCCGCGUCUGAUUAGCUGGUUGGUGAGGUAAUGGCUCACCAAGGCGACGAUCAGUAGCUGGUCUGAGAGGAUGAUCAGCCACAUUGGGACUGAGACACGGCCCAAACUCCUACGGGAGGCAGCAGUGGGGAAUAUUGGACAAUGGGCGCAAGCCUGAUCCAGCCAUGCCGCGUGAGUGAUGACGGCCUUAGGGUUGUAAAGCUCUUUCGGCGGGGACGAUAAUGACGGUACCCGCAGAAGAAGCCCCGGCUAACUUCGUGCCAGCCGCCGCAGUAACAC
rnacentral:rRNA from 1 species